GGAGAAGUGUCCGAGUGGUUUAAGGUGACGACCUCGAAAGUCGUUGUGGGGGAGACUCCACCAAGGGUUCGAAUCCCUUCUUCUCCG
rnacentral:tRNA from 1 species